rnacentral:rRNA from 1 species
UGGGGAAUUUUGGACAAUGGGCGCAAGCCUGAUCCAGCCAUGCCGCGUGCGGGAAGAAGGCCUUCGGGUUGUAAACCGCUUCUGUCAGGGAAGAAAUCUUCUGAGUUAAUACCUCGGGAGGAUGACGGUACCUGAAGAAUAAGCACCGGCUAACUACGUGCCAGCAGCCGCGGUAAUACGUAGGGUGCAAGCGUUAAUCGGAAUUACUGGGCGUAAAGCGUGCGCAGGCGGUUUUGUAAGACAGAGGUGAAAUCCCCGGGCUCAACCUGGGAACUGCCUUUGUGACUGCAAGGCUUGAGUGCGGCAGAGGGGGAUGGAAUUCCGCGUGUAGCAGUGAAAAUGCGUAGAUAUGCGGAGGAACACCGAUGGCGAAGGCAAUCCCCUGGGCCUGCACUGACGCUC